AUUGAACGCUGGCGGCAGGCCUAACACAUGCAAGUCGAACGAGUGGCGGACGGGUGAGUAAUGUCUGGGAAACUGCCUGAGGGAUGGGGUUAACUACUGGAUACUGUAGCUACUACCGCAUACCAUCGGAUGUGCCCAGAUGGGAUUAGAGAGUAGGUGGGGUAAAGGCUCACCUAGGCGGCGAUCCCUAGCUGUUCUGAGAGGAUGACCAGCCACACUGGAACUGAGAAAGGGUCCAGACUCCUACGGGAGGCAGCAGUGGGGAAUGUUGCACAAUGGGCGCAAGCCUGAUGCAGCCAUGCCGCGUGUAUGAAGAAGGCCUUCGGGUUGUAAAGUACUUUCAGCGGGGAGGCGUUACCCGCAGAAGAAGCACCGGCUAACUCCGUGCCAGCAGCCGCGGUAAUAC
rnacentral:rRNA from 1 species